UAUAAAUGUGUACAUAUUUCAUUGGUUAUUGAUAACUUUAUCUUUUGUGGGUCUUUUUGUUUAACACGUGUAUAUGCAUCUUUAACCUAACAAAACGGCGCGUAUGCCUAAGCAGCUCAAAGUUCAUUCUCCCCUGCAAUCUCUCUUCUUCCAAGCGAGCUUUCAUUUUUCUCUUUCACUUUGCUUUUUUGCUCUCAUUGUUUUUCUUUGCUUUCUCAUCAUCUUCUUCCAAGAGUUUUAAUUAAACUUUGUCCUAUUUUGUUGAUUGUUUUGAUAUUGCUUCCAAUGGUUGCUGCUUUAAUUUGUUCGUAUGUGAUUGUAGGUAUGUUGCAUGGACAAAAUUUCUAUGUUGAAUCCACUUCUUCUUCGUCUCCUAUGCACAAGACUGUAGACCCAUCUCAAUUUUGCAUUGAUGGGUCCUAUUAUAAAAAAAAUUCCAGGUUUAUUCAGCUACCAGAUAUAAGGGAUGUUAAGAUCACAAAUUUUACUUUGAGGAAAGUGGAUUAUGUAGACAAAGAUUCUGAGGGGCAUUUUUGAGGUCAUGAUUAUAAUGAUGACGAGGACAAGAACGACAAAGGACAGAGAGUAUUAGCACAUCUGGAACUUGAAGUUGGAGGCAGAUUUGAAAGAGCAGAACAUCUUCAACAUUAAACUAUUGGAGUAGAUUGCAGUUACUAACUCAAGCAAGAACAUGUAUAGUAGAUUGUAAGUUACUAACUCGAGCAAAAAUAUGGUGAUGAAAAUUGCUACGUAAGAUGCUACAUGUGCCUUAAAAGGAAGCUGAAGUCAAUCACUUGGUGAAGGGCCUGAAUAUGUGUCAACUAUAGCGAGUGCAUGUACCAACAUUAUUUAGAUUCGAAUGGGCGACGCCUAAAAGUCUUACAAAAAUUUAUCAUAAACUGAAUGAACGAGAAAGUAUAGAACACCUUAGAGAUGUAUGAGAUACAAUUUCGGCCUGCAUUUUCUUGAUAGUUUGAAAUGAAAGAAACAUGAUGUUUCAAAACUGAAGAAAAUUCAGUCCAAAAAUUGAAACACAAAUAUUUGUGAUUGCUUGAAAUGUAUGCAAAGGUGUUGAUGAGAACAUGCUUGCAGCUAUGUUAAUAUCCAUGUUUAGUGUUGUAGAUUGCUCCCUCGAUGUGUCUUGUAAGUACUUUAUAAUUACUAAAACAUCGUAUUUAACGAUUAA